rnacentral:rRNA from 1 species
GAUGAACGCUAGCGGCAGGCUUAAUACAUGCAAGUCGAGGGGCAGCAUGAGUGUAGCAAUACAUUUGAUGGCGACCGGCAAACGGGUGCGGAACACGUACACAACCUUCCUAUAAGUGGGGAAUAGCCCAGAGAAAUUUGGAUUAAUACCCCGUAACAUAAUGAUGUGGCAUCACAUUAUUAUUAUAGCUUCGGCGCUUAUUGAUGGGUGUGCGGCUGAUUAGAUAGUUGGCGGGGUAACGGCCCACCAAGUCUACGAUCAGUAGCUGAUGUGAGAGCAUGAUCAGCCACACGGGAACUGGGACAAGGGCCCGACUCCUACGGGAGGCAGCAGUAAGGAAUAUUGGUCAAUGGACGCAAGUCUGAACCAGCCAUGCCGCGUGAAGGAUUAAGGUCCUCUGGAUUGUAAACUUCUUUUAUCUGGGACGAAAAAAGGCGAUUCUUCGUCACUUGACGGUACCAGAUGAAUAAGCACCGGCUAACUCCGUGCCAGCAGCCGCCGUAACAC